AAAUUCCUAAAAAAUAAAGAAAUUUCUUGGGAAAUAAUAGUUUUUCUAACCAUUUUUGCUCUAAACAAUGUUGGUGGUACAUUGAGGUUAACAGUCUCUCGAGAGGCUGUUUCUCGCUCGCUCUUCUAGGCGCUUUUUCUCGAACUUUCUGUUUCCUGCAUCCAAUUUUUAUUACAUGGACUCUUGUAAUAAUUUUAUUUGCGUCAACGGACACCUAAUCAUACGGAACUUGGUAACUAUUAAGGCCAUGGAAAUUUUAGUCGUAGGCUUCAGUUUUUUUGGAAGAUUAAAGAUGAUUCUUAGCGCUUUACUCAUUUAAAAUCGUUUUGACAAACUCUUUAGGUAUAAGUCAUACUUAAAAAGAAGCCUCCACCAAAUGUGGAAAGGGCCUCCUAAGUCUAAAUCCGGCCCUGAAUUUAUGUUCUUCUUUCGGUAAUUGUUUUAUUUAAUUCAAAUAACUUCUACCCGCGGCAAAUAUUCGCUUUGUUUUUAAUUUAGAAGAACGUAAGAUCCGUUCGAUUUGGGACCUGACGCAAAUAUUUAGGCAUUUUAAUUUUGUUAUUAAAAAAAUUAGAUCGUGACUAUACGAUUUUUGUACAUAAUUUUCAUGGAAAAAAAAAGAUACCAAUUAAAAAAAUUUAAAUUCCAUAUAACUAACCC